GCGGAAAUAGCUCAGUUGGUAGAGCACAACCUUGCCCAGGUUGGGGUCGCGGGUCCGAGUCCCGUUUUCCGCU
rnacentral:tRNA from 1 species